ACACGCUGGCGGCGUGCCUAAUACAUGCAAGUCGAACGGUCUUUUCUAUGGAAGCUUGCUUCCACUGAGAAGAUAGUGGCGAACGGGUGAGUAACACGUGGGUAACCUGCCCAUAAGAGGGGGAUAACAUCCGGAAACGGGUGCUAAUACCGCAUAGUUUUCUUGAUCGCAUGAUUGAGAAAGGAAAGACGGCCUUUGUGCUGUCGCUUAUGGAUGGACCCGCGGCGUAUUAGUUAGUUGGUGAGGUAACGGCUCACCAAGACGAUGAUACGUAGCCGACCUGAGAGGGUGAUCGGCCACAUUGGGACUGAGACACGGCCCAAACUCCUACGGGAGGCAGCAGUAGGGAAUCUUCCGCAAUGGACGAAAGUCUGACGGAGCAACGCCGCGUGAGUGAAGAAGGUUUUCGGAUCGUAAAACUCUGUUGUCAGAGAAGAACAAGUUGGAGAGUAACUGCUCCAGCCUUGACGGUAUCUGACCAGAAAGCCACGGCUAACUACGUG
rnacentral:rRNA from 1 species